ACGUAGGGUCCGAGCGUUGUCCGGAAUUACUGGGCGUAAAGAGCUCGUAGGUGGUUUGUCGCGUUGUUCGUGAAAACUCACAGCUUAACUGUGGGCGUGCGGGCGAUACGGGCAGACUAGAGUACUGCAGGGGAGACUGGAAUUCCUGGUGUAGCGGUGGAAUGCGCAGAUAUCAGGAGGAACACCGGUGGCGAAGGCGGGUCUCUGGGCAGUAACUGACGCUGAGGAGCGAAAGCGUGGGGAGCGAACAG
rnacentral:rRNA from 1 species